GGCAACUGCCCCGCUCUUCCUCUACCCUGGUUUUGAUGACUCUCCCCCACUUCUACCUCUGUUCACAAACACUUUUUCUAUGGUCCCAGGCCUAAGGAUUCUUCCAGACCCCCUGACACCACAGACAGAGGGGCCACACUAAGGCUAUUGGCCCCAGAAUAUGGUCGUGUUCAUUCGUUUUGUAAGAUUACUAACGAACAGCUAUUUUUGCGCUGCGUAUUUUUUUUUUAAAUCUCAUUUGUGAACUUUGGAGUUCUUCUCACCUCAUCACAGCAUGAACGGAUAGUCCGGAAUACUACGAAUCCCAACACCGGAAUCAGAGGUGACUGAUCCAGAGGAAGAAGAUCAGACCCUCCAGGAGGAGACAAUCCUGAGGACAUCCUCCCUGGUCGGACUGGACAGAGCGGCCACCAAGGCACCGAAGUGAGGA